AACCUAGCUGUCGAGAUUUGUUUUUUUUACUGGUGAAGUCAUUGGCCAAUGAAAGAUGUUUGCCGAACCCUGACGGUGACGAGGUGUUCUUUACCACUACGUGUGUUGCUAUCGCCCAAUCCAUGUCAGACCUGCACUUUGCCGUAAUCUGCCGCUGGAGCAUGUAAGCCGCCAUGCAUGCAACUGUGCACGUCUAGGACUGCUGCCCCAAGCUGAAGGCUUCCUCUCCCCCAUCGUGCAUAGCAACCUGCAAUUUGCCAUGGCCAUGAUCGUACAGGAGUUCAAGGGUUAGGACAAAGUAUUUACAGAAUAGCCUCUGUCAGUGAGCAAUUCGUGGUGAACAAGAGUACUUCAGUGA